rnacentral:rRNA from 1 species
CGCGUAGGCGGUUUGCUCAGUCAGAUGUGAAAGCCCUCGGCUUAACCGGGGACGUGCAUUUGAAACUGGCAGACUUGAGUAUUGGAGGGGGUGGUGGAAUUCCCGGUGUAGAGGUGAAAUUCGUAGAUAUCGGGAGGAAUACCGGUGGCGAAGGCGACCACCUGGCCAGAUACUGACGCUGAGGUGCGAAAGCGUGGGGAGCAAACA